rnacentral:rRNA from 1 species
ACAGAACGAUCCGAGACCGCGAGGUGGAGGAAAUCUAUCGAAAACUGGGCCCAGUUCGGAUUGGAGUCUGCAACUCGACUCCAUGAAGCCGGAAUCGCUAGUAAUGGCGCAUCAGCUACGGCGCCGUGAAUACGUUCCCGGGCCUUGUACACACCGCCCGUCACAUCAUGGAAGUCGCUUGUAGCCGAAGCCGGCGUGCUAACCCGCAAGGGAGGCAGCCUUCUACGCUAUGAGCGGUAACUGGGAUGAAGUCGUAACAAGGUAGCCGUAGGGGAACCUGCGGCUGGAUCACCUCCUUUCUAAGG